GCCAUCAUAGCUCAGUGGCAGAGCACUGGUCUUGUAAACCAGGGGUCACGAGUUCAAAUCUCGCUGAUGGCU